rnacentral:rRNA from 1 species
AUCGAACCCGGAGAUAGCUGGUUCUCCUCGAAAUAGCUUUAGGGCUAGCCUCGAUACAGAUUUGCGGAGGUAGAGCACUGAAUUUCCUAGGGGGCGUCAAAGCCUACCGAAGAAUAUCAAACUCCGAAUGCCGCGUAAUCGAUUAUCGGGAGUCAGACUGCACGAGAUAAGUUGGGCGGUCAAAAGGGAAAGAGCCCAGACCUUCAGUUAAGGUCCCCAAGUGCGCGUUAAGUGGAAAAGGAUGUGGGAUUUCGAAGACAACCAGGAUGUUGGCUCAGAAGCAGCCAUCCAUUCAAAGAGUGCGUAAUAGCUCACUGGUCGAGAGGUCCUGCGCCGAAAAUGUCCGGGGCUGAAACGCGCCACCGAAACUAAGGAACCGAAAGGUUGGUAGAGGAGCAUUGCAUGCGGGAAGAAGCAGUACCGUAAGGAGCUGUGGACUGCAUGGAAGAGAGAAUGCCGGAAUGAGUAGCGAGAAUAAGGUGAGAAUCCUUAUGGCCGAAUAUCCAAGGUUUCCAGAGUAAAGCUGAUCUGCUCUGGGUAAGUCGGGGCCUAAGGCGAGGACGAGAGUCGUAGCCGAUGGACAACAGGUGGAGAUUCCUGUACUGCGGUAUGACAGAACUGUGGGGACACGUAAGGAAAGCGGAAGCCGGGAAUGGAAAGCCCGGUGCAAGCGGGGUACCAGCCACUUAGGCAAAUCCGGGUGGCAAUGGGAAGCCGUGAUGCGGAGCGAAAUAAAGUAGCGAAGUCCGUGAGCCAUGCGUCAAGAAAAGCCGCUAUUGUUUAUACCGUACCCGUACCGUAAACCGACACAGGUGGAUGAGGAGAGAAUCCUAAGGCCGGCGGAAGAAGCAUUGUUAAGGAACUCGGCAAAAUGACCCCGUAACUUCGGGAGAAGGGGUGCCUGCGAGAGCAGGCCGCAGAGAAUAGGCUCAAGCAACUGUUUAGCAAAAACACAGGUCUAUGCGAAACCGAAAGGUGAGGUAUAUGGGCUGACGCCUGCCCGGUGCUGGAAGGUUAAGAGGAGAGGUUAGCGCAAGCGAAGCUUUGAAUUUAAGCCCCAGUAAACGGCGGCCGUAACUAUAACGGUCCUAAGGUAGCGAAAUUCCUUGUCGGGUAAGUUCCGACCCGCACGAAAGGCGUAAUGAUUUGAGCGCUGUCUCGGCAAUACAUCCGGUGAAAUUGAAGUGCCAGUGAAGAUGCUGGCUACCCGCGCCAGGACGGAAAGACCCCAUGGAGCUUUACUCCAGUUUGGCACUGGGGUCCGGUGUUGCAUGUACAGGAUAGGUGGGAGGCUGAGAAACGGUAACGUCAGUUGCCGCGGAGCCGCUGUUGGGAUACCACCCUUGUGAUAUUGGGCUUCUAACCAGCCGCCGUAAUCCGGCGGUGGGACAAUGCCAGGCGGGGAGUUUGACUGGGGCGGUCGCCUCCGAAAGGGUAUCGGAGGCGCCCAAAGGUUCCCUCAGAAUGGACGGAAACCAUUCGAAGAGUGCAAAGGCAGAAGGGAGCUUGACUGCGACACCGACGG